UUGUCAAGCAAUGACACCCCCACAUACAACCUAUAGUGCGCGCACACACACACAUUGACAAGUACUCAUAAAUAAACAGAUACAUACAUAUCAACGUGUGUAUGUAUUGUGGGGUGAUUUGUGAUUUGUCUUACCUCCUACAAUUAUUUUGAUGACGUUUAAUACCAGCAUAUCUUUACUACCGAAUCUCACCCAAAGCUAUUCUAUUUUCAUUAAGGGAAUUAAAGAAGACCAAUAAUUUUAGCAACUUUAAAAAGUUAGCGGGAACUCUUUGUUAUUCCUUAACUUAGAAACUUAUUGGAGUAUAAAUUAAGGUGUAUUCUAAUUGUACGGUAAAGCAAACCUGCUGAUAAGACUUAAAACAGCCUUAAAAGGUAAGGGAACCCACAUGUCUUACCAGGCUGAGAUGCAGAAACAGCUGAAGGAGGAGUUGAAAGAGCUGCACAGAGAGAAAAGCAUGGUUCGAGAAAACUUAAGUAGGACAACGGAGGAAUUGCUUCGCUAUUGCAGGGAGAAUGAAAACUCGGAUCACAUGCUCUUCCCUCAAAAAGAUAACCCUUUUGUUAAGACGGAUAGCAGCAUAUGUAUUCUGUGCCUCAAAUAAAAUGAAGUUUAAAUGAAGUUAAAUAACAUAAAAGAAAAAUAAAUGCAGAAAUAAAGAAUAACAAAAAGAACAAGUUAUAAUAAAGAGAGUAAACAAAAUGAGU